GUAAUUCUUAAAAGCUUCAAAGAAGUCAGUCGCUGCCUCUGCCCACUGUCUUUGUGCCAUAUGCAUUUUCCCACCACACUCACGGAUUAUUCCCAUUAUUCUAGGAUGGGGGAUAGCUGAUUUGAUUGUAAGAGCCUUCCCAUACAAUUCCUUCAGCUUUUUGUUGUUCUUUGUCUCAGUGUACAUUUGAAUUUCAAUAGCAUAAACCUCCAAGAGCUGAGUCCCUUUCUUUUGAUCAUCGGUACCAUCAGCUUUUUGACAAGAUCUGUGAAGCUCCUUCAUAAUCUUGUUCAUUUUACCAUACUCACCCAUGUCAAACCAGAUCUUGCAAAGCUUAAGAUUUGUCUUAAACCACAAUCGUUCAUUUUUAGCCUCUUCAAGGGCUUUCAGUGUGGUUUCGUAGAACUCCCUCAACAACCCAACAUUCUGACUAGCUGAGCCAGAGACAAAAUCCAUUAUGUUGUUGAUGCACUUCUCGCUGUAAUUUCGCGUUACCGCUGAUAUAAUAUAAGUAAGCAUUUCUCUGUAAGAGUCCAUCAUCUGCUUAAACCUCCCUAAACGAUAAUAAAUUUUGACUGUCUGCUUAAGAGCUUUAAAACCCCAUUCUGCCUUCUCAGGUUCCAUUCGUACCACCUCUGCGAAUCCCUCAAGUGCACCCUCUGGAUCCGUUUCAACCAUACCUUUUGAAUUAUAAUACUGAUUCUCAAUAUCAACAUCCUGCUCCUCCUGAUCCUCGUCAGAAUACUCAAAUCCGUAAUCCUCCAUAUCAGCAUCUGAA
rnacentral:misc_RNA from 1 species